rnacentral:lncRNA from 1 species
GAUCCCAAACCCAGCAGUGCAGCAGUGUGACAUAACUUCAAGAGUUUCUCUCCCUUUAUGGUGUUUUUACAAUUUUGGUAGGUUAUCAGGGAAAGGAUUUUAUUUAUUUAUUUUGAAAUAUAGUAUCUGAAGAAGGCACUUGAAAGAAGUUGACCAACACUGAGAAUUCAGAUCAAUAAGGAGCCAUAUAGGGAACAACAGGUAGGAAAAAGAAAUUUGUCUUUGCUCUGUUGUGGGUCAAAUAGGUAAGGCAUUGUAUUUUCUUUUUUUUUCCCAAGCACAGUAUGACCUAAGGGUAAAUUGUAUGAAGUAAUGGAGUUCAGGAGCUCAGACCUCUCCUUUGAUGGCAUGUGGUGAUCUUAGAGGUCUUUUCCAACCUGAAUGAUUCAAUGAUUCUAUGAUUUUCCAGUGGGCUAUGGAGUAUGAAUGAAAAAGUGAGUAAUGACUAUGUUAUUAACAAUAAAUAAAUAAAUAAAUAUCAGCAGUGGAAACGUGUCUAGUAACAAAUGCUUCUACUCCAAGCUGUCACUCAUCCAUCUGAGCAAUAUCCCCCUUCAGAGAUAAUCCUGCAAUUACAUGAAUCUACGCUUAACUAAACAUAAAAUGCCUUUCUGCUGACUGCAAAGACAAUGAGUGGAGCAGAGUGUUCCUCAAUUUAUACAUUCAGCAAAGAGAAAGUGAAGCAACUUGGCCAAGCACAAUAAUCUUAUGAUGGAUACCUUCAGCAAACAAUAGGCUUCUGCAUAGUGUUUAGCAUCAUCCUCAGGGGUACAAGCUCUAUGGGGCUGAAGCUUCAGGCUGCAUCAUUAAGAUAAAAUAAAUUCAGCUGCAGCUUCUUGCAUCCUCUGUCUUCCUUAAUGUUUUAAUGCUAAGGGAAACAGAUAAAUGGCUAAGAAGUGGCUGCCUCUUUGAAGCCUUUCUAAUAUCAGGAGGCCCCAGAAGACUGCAGGAGAGAAGAUCUGCAGGUGGAGAAAAAAUAGCCUUUGAUUACCCAAAUGAAUGAAUCUCAAGACAGAGGCCUGCACCUUUCUCAACUGAAGUUCAACACAAGUAAGAUACAACGCCCUUAAAGAGAAGAACAGCGUUUUGAAACUCUAGGAUCAAAAGAAAACAAAAGUUGGUUCAUUUGUGAUUCCUCAGUGACAAAAGACUUCCAGAAUUUUAGGCACUGUUAAACUGAGUUCUACAUGAGCACCAUGUGCUACCAAUUUACUUCAAUUGUCUCCAUUGCUAAGGACUGAUGCAGCUGGCUGGUUUGAUCCAAAUGGCGAUGAUUAAGAUCCUGAAGUCAAUUAAAUUUUUUUCCACUGAUUUCAACAGACCUUGGAUAAGGUCUUGAUGGUUUAUGAAUUAAAAGAAACAUACUGAAAGCAACUUUUUCCAAGAUAUUGGGGAAGAGGGGAGGGAAGAGGGAAAGAGAGAGGAGGAAAACAACCUCUUAUUUACGAGUGUUAAAAGAUGAACUUCAGAAACAUUCCUGGCUUCUCUGAGUUUUUGUCAGAAC